rnacentral:rRNA from 1 species
CACGGAGAAUCAGGGUUCGAUUCCGGAGAAGGAGCUUGAGAAUUGGCUACUACAUCUAAGGAAGGCAGCAGGCGCGCGAAUUACCCAAUCCCGAUUCGGGGAGGUAGUGACAAAAAAUAACAAUACCGGGCCUUUUUGGGCUUGGUAAUUGGAAUGAGGGAGAGUUAAACGGACCAUCGAGUAUCCAUUGGAGGGCAAGUCUGGUGCCAGCAGCUGCGGUAAUACCAGCUCCAAUAGCGUAUAUUAAAGUUGUUGCAGUUAAAAAGCUCGUAGUUGGACUUGUGUGCGCUGUCCGCGGGUGGCCUGCGCCCAAAAGGGCGUUUCGGUUCGGCCCCGGUGGCGCCUUGAAAUCUGCAGCUGGGGGGACGUUGGCCUUAACUGGUCGGCGACCGCACGCCGGCUGCUCGGUUACUGUGAGAAAAUUAGAGUGUUCAAGGCAGGCAUUGGGUGCAAUUGAAUACAUUAGCAUGGAAUAAUAAAAUAUGGCUCCUGCCGUAUUUUGUUGGUUUUGACUGGUGGGAGUAAUGAUUGAUAGGGACGGUUGGGGGUGCUAGUAUUGAGCGGCCAGAGGUGAAAUUCAUGGAUUCGCUCAAGACUAACUUAUGCGAAAGCAUUCACCAAGGACGUCCUCUUUAAUCAAGAACGAAAGUUGGGGGAUCGAAGACGAUCAGAUACCGUCGUAGUCUCAACCAUAAACUAUGUCGACUUGGGAUCGGCGGUAGUUUUUUCAUUAAGACACUGUCGGGACCACGGGAGAAAUCAAAGUGUCUGGACUCUGGGGGAAGUAUGGUCGCAAGGCUGAAACUUGAAGGAAUUGACGGAAGGGCACCACCAGGAGUGGAGCCUGCGGCUUAAUUUGACCCAACACGGGGAAACUUACCAGGUCCAGAGAUGUAGAGGAUUGACAGAUUGAAGCUCUUUCUUGAUCACUUCGGUGGUGGUGCAUGGCCGUUCUUAGUUGGUGGAGUGAUUUGUCUGGUUAAUUCCGUUAACGAACGAGACCUCAGCCUGCUAGUGUAGUCGGCUGGAUUGCCUUUGGCGAUCCGUGAUUUCGACUUCUUAGAGGGACAAUCGACGCGCAGUCGAUGGAAGUUUGAGGCAAUAACAGGUCUGUGAUGCCCUUAGAUGUUCUGGGCCGCACGCGCGCUACACUGCUGGGCUCAGCGAGUUUUACUUGGCCGAGAGGCCCGGUUAAUCUUGUGAAAUCCCAGCGUGCUUGGGCUCGCCUCCUGCAACUGGAGGCGCCAACGAGGAAUUCCUAGUAGACGCAGGUCAUCAACCUGCAUCGAUUACGUCCCUGCCCUUUGUACACACCGCCCGUCGUUCCAUAAGAGUGAGGCAUCCGGUGAAUUCUCGGGAGAGCCUGGGCGUGGCCAGCAAUGGUCUGCUCGGGUUUGAACUUGCAUAAACUUGGUGCCUAUGAUUAGGGAAAAGUCGUAACAAGGUU